rnacentral:rRNA from 1 species
GACGAACGCUGGCGGCGUGCCUAAUACAUGCAAGUCGAGCGAGCGGAACUAACAGAUUUACUUCGGUAAUGACGUUAGGAAAGCGAGCGGCGGAUGGGUGAGUAACACGUGGGGAACCUGCCCCAUAGUCUGGGAUACCACUUGGAAACAGGUGCUAAUACCGGAUAAGAAAGCAGAUCGCAUGAUCAGCUUUUAAAAGGCGGCGUAAGCUGUCGCUAUGGGAUGGCCCCGCGGUGCAUUAGCUAGUUGGUAAGGUAAAGGCUUACCAAGGCGAUGAUGCAUAGCCGAGUCGAGAGACUGAUCGGCCACAUUGGGACUGAGACACGGCCCAAACUCCUACGGGAGGCAGCAGUAGGGAAUCUUCCACAAUGGACGCAAGUCUGAUGGAGCAACGCCGCGUGAGUGAAGAAGGUUUUCGGAUCGUAAAGCUCUGUUGUUGGUGAAGAAGGAUAGAGGUAGUAACUGGCCUUUACUUGACGGUAAUCAAACAGAAAGUCACGGCUAACUACGUG